CCUACGGGUGGCAGCAGUGGGGAAUAUUGGACAAUGGGGGCAACCCUGAUCCAGCCAUGCCGCGUGUGUGAAGAAGGCCCUCGGGUUGUAAAGCACUUUCAGUGAGGAAGAACGCCUGGUGGUUAAUACCCAUCAGGAAAGACAUCACUCACAGAAGAAGCACCGGCUAACUCCGUGCCAGCAGCCGCGGUAAUACGGAGGGUGCUAGCGUUAAUCGGAAUUACUGGGCGUAAAGCGCGCGUAGGUGGCUUGAUAAGCCGGUUGUGAAAGCCCCGGGCUCAACCUGGGAACGGCAUCCGGAACUGUCAAGCUAGAGAGCAGGAGAGGAAGGUAGAAUUCCCGGUGUAGCGGUGAAAUGCGUAGAGAUCGGGAGGAAUACCAGUGGCGAAGGCGGCCUUCUGGACUGACACUGACACUGAGGUGCGAAAGCGUGGGUAGCAAACAGGAUUAGAUACCCGGGUAGUC
rnacentral:rRNA from 1 species